rnacentral:rRNA from 1 species
CACGUAGUUAGCCGGCGCUUCUUUACCCACUACCCUCACCACAACCAAUGUCGCGGCUUGACCAUGAGCGAAAGAGGUUUACAACCCGAAGGCCGUCAUCCCUCACGCGGCGUCGCUGCAUCAGGCUUUCGCCCAUUGUGCAAUAUUCCCCACUGCUGCCUCCCGUAGGAGUCUGGGCCGUACCUCAGUCCCAAUGUGACCGGUCACCCUCUCAGGCCGGCUACCCGUCAAAGCCUUGGUAGGCCAUCACCCCACCAACAAGCUGAUAGGCCGCGAGCCCAUCCCCCACCAGAAAAAACCUUUCCACCAACCCCCAUGCGAAGGCCAGUGAAUAUCCAGUAUUAGCACCCGUUUCCGGGCGUUAUCCCAAAGAGGGGGCAGGUUACUCACGUGUUACUCACCCGUUCGCCACUCACUCCACCCAGCAAGCUGGGCUUCAGCGUUCGACUUGCAUGUGUUAAGCACGCCGCCAGCGUCGUCCUGUAGCCA